UGGUUUUAUUUUCCAGCCUACAAUUCUUCACAAGAUUUCUUGCUCUAAGCUAAAUUAAUACCUUCUGCUGCACAAAGCAAGAACAAGGACUUUUUACAAAAUGUUGGGACUUGGGGACUGAACAUUUGAAAUUCCUAAAAAUAACUGAGAGUACAUAAAAACAGUAACUGGAGGAGAAGACUUGGGAUUUCUAUGAAUGUUGGGAAGUUAUUAGAAUUAGAGAUGUUAAUAGGGAUUUAUUAAUUGAAGUGUUGCUCUUUGAUGUAAGUAGUUGCAUAGCAUUCAUGGUCUUUCCAGGUUAUUUCUCUGGAGCAGUACAUCUCAAUAAGAACACUAAAAAAGCUUCACUUUCCUGAGGCUAACUGUAAGAAACAUCAGUAGGCAUUUUUCUUAUAAAUUCAGCAAGGCUUUUCUGUGUAGUAGCAGCACAGUACUUCAGGGGGAAUAAAAAAAUAAGCAACCAAAAGAACAACCACGAAAAGAAACCUCUUGAAAAAUUUUUAUAAUUGUGCUAAAGUCCAUUUCAGUGCUCUCAGUCUUCCUGGAUGAGAGGUGAUUACCAAGCCUGCAGGAUCGUUGGAAUGGCCAGUGCACUCCACAGACAUCAAUAUGCUUCUGCAAAGUCACACAGGUGCACAGGUAGUGAAGCCUGGAAUUUCUGGGCUUCAGAGAGCUCAGGGAAGCCACUCAGAGGGCUGAAGAUGUCCUGAUGAGUCUGCUGGUGUCUUGAAUGCCUUCUGACGCCCCGAGGUGGGAAAUUCAGAGCUGCUCUUUGUUUCCAUGAGGUCACAACAGUCAUAGGGACUCGUGAAGUGGAAGAGCAUUGUUCCCUGUGUUCACUGCUGAGUCAGUGGCACAAUAGCCCCUGUCCCUUUGUGCUUGCCACUGCAGGCACUGAUUUAUCAGUUCAAGAGACUUGCUUGAGCUAGAUCCACCUGGAUGCUUACACACACAUGAAAAUGUGUGUAAAAGCCACAAAAAGAGAAGAUACACCUCUCUUCCAGAUGGACUGCAAUUCUUCAAACAAAGAUAAAGGAAUUAGGGAAAGCUAUUCAGUAUAGAAGCAGAAAAUGAGUGAGGCUGAUGGGAAUGUCUCAUGUCUCCUCAUCCACUCAAGAAAUGUAAGGGUGGUCCUCUCAAAUUACAACUCCAAACUGCCCAGCAAUAUCAAGUGCUUGGAUGAAAUUGCCCCAGGACAAAAUGUUCUAGGAGUCUGCUGCAGCUCUUCUGAGUUUCUGUAUGUGGAGAAACAAAAAGGCUGGGGAAAACAGGUUUCCUUGAAGCAUGGUCUAAAAGAUAAAAUUGAGACUUCUCUCCAAAACAGGAGCAGACCACAUGGUACCAGCACAGGGUGGGAGCUGAGGGGCUGGAAAGCAGCUUGGCAGAAAAACACCUGGGAGAGCUGAGGCACAGCUAGAUGAACAUAGCAAUACACCCUUGCAGCAAAGAGAGGCAACAGCAUCCUGGGCUGGACAGGGCAGAGCACUGCCAGCAGAUUGAAGAGGUGAUCCUUUCCCUCUGCUUAUCAUUGGUGAGACUCACCUGGAGUGCUGUGUCCACUCUACAAGACAGACAUGAACAUGCUGGAAAGAGUCCAGCACAAUGCCAUGAAGAUCAUUAAGGGGAUGAAACAUCUCUCAUAUGGAGGAAGAUGGAGCCAGACUCUUCUCAGUGGUACCCAGUGAAAGGACAAGUACACAAAUUGAAGUACAGAAUGAUUAAACAUAAGAAAAAGAUGUUUUACUGUGAGUUUGACUGAGAAUAUGGAAGAGGCUGCCCUGGGAGAUUGAGGAGUCUCCAUCCUUGGAGAUGCUUGAAAUCUGACAGGAUACAUCCCCAAGCGACCUCCCCUAGCUGACCUUGUUUUGAGCAGGGAAAUUGGACCAGAUGAUGUCCAGAGAUGCCUUUGAACAUUCUAUAGUUCCAAGAGUUGUAAGAGUGGAGUACAGAUUUCUAGUUCACUGAAGUGAGCCUUACUGAUUUAGGAAGGCAGAUGGUGACUGUUCUGUUCAAAGGUGUAAAGAAUCUCAUUUUAGAAUUUGAAUUAAGGGAGAGUAAAGAGGCCAAGCACUUGCAAAAAAACCUCCAUUUAUAGGGUCUGUGGAGUGAAAAGGGAGUUACAGCUUGCAAGUCAUGCUAGGAGUAAAUUAGAACUCCCACAACAAAAGAAAAGUGGACAAUUAGAAGAGAAAGAGAUUAAACCAAGAAGGGUCAUAGGAGCUCUACAUUAGAGAGGACAUAGAGUGCAGUUUCAUAUUAUAGCAAUAAUUCUCUCAUAGUUCUUCAUUUAAAAAUAACACCACUGUAAUAAGGUUUCUUAGAGGUAAAGUUUCACAUUAUGCUGCCAAUGAAGGGGACAAGCCUGUUCUUCCCCUCCAACAUAUUUUCCUUCUUUCUAUUCUUUUCUAAUUACUGCCAUCAUUAGUUAUAACAACUCAUUGAUACAACAGAAUAUUGAACUACCAAAAAAAAAAAAAAAAGAUUACUCCAUUGGUGCAAUUUGGUGACUUUGAUGCUCCCUAUGUACAUUUAGUUGCUAGAGCCAGUGCAAAAGAGAGGACGAGGAAACACAGCUAUAAAAAGCAGCAAUAACAUCCAAUUUAACUCCAUGCUGAGUUGGAUACCAGUGAAAUUUGUCAGACAUGAAAAAGGAAAUGUUAUUUUACAUAGUCUAGACUACAUGUGAGUUAUUGCUGUAAUCAGGCAGCCUGGCUGCAGUAUCACCUCGCACCCUAAGGCAGUAUGUUCCACCCUGCACUGUGCAAAAGGGUCACUGACAAUAUCUGUCAAGACUUCGAGAAUCCCUAAAAGACCAAGGCAAUGAAGGGCACAAACGUACUUUCAAACUGUUUCAAAUUUCAAUCUGUCAUUACAAAACCCAUUCCACAGUCAAGAACAGUUUUGUAUGAAUUUAACACCAAUUGAUGAAUUGAUGUGAAUGUAUAUGAAUUGAUGGCAAAAACCUAUCUGCAAUUCCAAAACUUACUGAUAUCCAAAACUCAAUAAUAUCCAGAACUCAGGACUGCAUAUAGUAAUUGCCCUUACCAGAACCUGUAGUGUCAGAUAACACAAUAGCUUAUACAACUGUACUUGAAUUCUAGCAUUAAUUACACUUCGUAUCAAUAUACAGAGCAUAUUUUAGAAGAUCUCUUAUGUGGGCAUCUGUAAAGGCAUCUCAUUUGUGUAACUGAUGAUACAGUGAGGAAAUACCAGGAUUGUUUUCUACUUGAAAGGCUAGCUCCCUUACUCCUAGCAAUGUAACAGUAAAAGCAAAAAAAAUAUCCAAUUUGUUUCUACAAAAUAAAGAUGAAAAUCCUUCAGAGGUGUCACCUACUAAACAAAUAUUUUUCUAUACUUAGCAGUUUUUAACAGUUAUACUGCAGUCUGAUCACUGAAGACAGAAGAGUUACAGAGAUAUGAAGAUAUUCUACUGAAAUACUCAGCAGCUGUGGAGGAAGUAGUCUAUUGAUACCAACAGUCUGACUAUAUUGGAAGUUCAAGAAGCAUCUGAGAUGAAGCUGAGGUGGGACCAAGAUAGUAGGACCAGCUCAAUGGAUGGUGGACAAAAAGGUAAAGAUGAUGAAUCAAAAGAUAAUCCUUAUCACAGGAUCUGCAGGACCUCCACUGCUCCUUAGAGAAGGAUUCAAACCUUAUUACCAUGCUGAGGAUAUACUUCCAUCUGGAACUUCCCUGCCUAGGAAUUCUGGGAAAGUCUGGACAAAAAUUUGUGUGUCUGCAUAAUGCAAAGAACCACACUGGUCCACCAUGUCCUGGAUAAAGAUCUACAGAACAUUCUUUUCCAGAGAUUCAUGGAAACAGAAACAUUUAUUCAACUGAGCAGCAAAACAGUAACACCUGAAAAAGAAAAGACAUCAGUAAUAUCAGGUAAAGACAAGCCGGAUAGACCUACUUUGUGCAUUAAAUAAUGAGAAUACAGGGUUUUGCUAUAACCUUUAUCACUGCAAGGAUGUUGGGAAAGGAAGAGCUUUUUUGGUCUGACCAGGUAUGAGAGUAAGAGAAGAAAGGCUGCAAUGGGUUUGAAUUGGAGGCAGCUCAAAAGGCUGUCACUAGCACAGCCGUCAAAGUCAUACCAUAUAAGCUCAGUAAAUAUCACUCUUCCAGAUGUUGCUGUUCCUAAGAAUAUAUGUGAGGUUGUAUCCUAGAGCAUAUGGUGCCAUUUCAAAAGUUGCACCACAGUAGGCAGCUGAGUGGGAGGAGGCAGGAAGGGAGAGAGUAUGCAUGGAUGUCUCUCAAGGCCACUUUCCCUUUGGAGUUUUCCACAUGCCUGUCAUUGCUGCAAAUGCCCAUAUUGCAAACAAGAAUCAGCUACAUUGUGAUUUUGUUUGUUAUCAAGUGGAAGAGUUACAGUUUCUCUUAUCUUGUAAUCUCACAGACAUAGGUUAUUUGCUUAAUAGACAAAUUUGACCUUGCAAAUAUUGGUGCAAUGCAACGAGUAAUUAAGUUUUACUGUCAGCACAACACAUUUUCCUUCCCACUAAUAGUUAGAACAAUCACUGAAAUUGGGUUCCUACUCAUGACUGGAGGUGUAAGCCCAGAAAGGAUUCUCAGGAGGCCUCUGGCAAUGUUCAGGUGGCAAGGAUGGACUAUGGUAUAGGCCAUUGAGACAUUUGGAUGGUUUUCUAACCCUGCAUAGCUAAAAUAUGGGGCAUCUUCUGUAUUUUCCCUAGAUGCUUGUCCAAGAAAAUGGAUUGUUUGGAG